GACGAACGCUGGCGGCGUGCUUAACACAUGCAAGUCGAACGAAGAGCGACGGAAGCUUGCUUCUAUCAAUCUUAGUGGCGAACGGGUGAGUAACGCGUAAUCAACCUGCCCUUCAGAGGGGGACAACAGUUGGAAACGACUGCUAAUACCGCAUACGAUCUAACCUCGGCAUCGAGGAUAGAUGAAAGGUGGCCUCUACAUGUAAGCUAUCACUGAAGGAGGGGAUUGCGUCUGAUUAGCUAGUUGGAGGGGUAACGGCGCACCAAGGCGAUGAUCAGUAGCCGGUCUGAGAGGAUGAACGGCCACAUUGGGACUGAGACACGGCCCAGACUCCUACGGGAGGCAGCAGUGGGGAAUCUUCCGCAAUGGACGAAAGUCUGACGGAGCAACGCCGCGUGAGUGAUGACGGCCUUCGGGUUGUAAAGCUCUGUUAAUCGGGACGAAAGGCCUUCUUGCGAAUAGUGAGAAGGAUUGACGGUACCGGAAUAGAAAGCCACGGCUAACUACGUG
rnacentral:rRNA from 1 species